AGACAAAGGGUUGGCAGCAGUGGGUGUGUGAAGCAUGCUGGGAAGCCAUUGGAGGGAAUUAGCAAAGAAUUCUAAUUCUUCGAUUCUAAUUCUUUGGGUCAUCUGAGGACGCCAGUGCCCCCUGCUGGGAGGGAGCAAGAGAUGUUACCAGACACAUUAAGAAAUGAGAUACAUGAGGGUUCAAGGUGAAGGUUGGGUGUGGAAAUGGCUAACCCACAGUCAGAAUGUUGCUGAACGCCCUGGACUGCCUUCAGAAUCAUCCCAGUGGUAUGAUUCAUUCCAUCACCUAAAACCUGGUGACAGUGGGCCACACAGAGUCUUACUGGUGAAAACCAUUAACUGAAGAUGUCGAGCAAGACAGCCAGCACCAACAACAUUGCCCAGGCACGAAGGACUGUGCAGCAGCUGAGAAUGGAAGCCUCCAUCGAAAGAAUAAAGGUUUCAAAGGCAUCAGCGGACCUCAUGUCCUACUGUGAGGAACAUGCCAGGAAUGACCCCCUGCUGAUGGGGAUACCAACUUCAGAAAACCCCUUCAAGGAUAAGAAGACCUGCACCAUCUUAUAGAGAAGUAGUGAAGCGGAUCCUCCCCUCUUCUCAACAAAGCAAAUGAUGAGCAGCUCCGUGAAAAGAUUUACCUUCAGCUUAUUUGGUAACCACUGCUAAUAACUAAAAUGCUCUUAACUUGGAAUUAUGGACUCUGAAGUCUUUACCUUCCAAGUUUUUCUUUCUCUAAAAUGCCUUUUACUCAAUUAAUACAGAAUAAUAAUCUUGUUUUCCAUUUGUUAACUACAGUGUCCUAUUAGUUACUGCUGAAGGAAAGUUGGUCUAGCCUUUAAAAAGAAAACAAAUAUAUCAGUGAUCCAGUUAAAACCUAAAUUACCUAAGCAGUCAUCUAGAUUAAAAUGCCAAGGAUAACUGGUCCUAAAAUUUUUGUCAUAGUCUAUUAAUAGAGUUUUGCCAAUCUGUACAGUAUAUGUGGGUGAGAAGUGUUUUGUGUAUAUAUAUGUGUGUGUUUGUAUAUACACAUCUCAAAGCUUAUUUCCCAAUUAAAAUGUCUCUCCCUCCAUACUAUCAGUUCAACUCCAGAAGUUAUAUCUUUAUCUCAAAGCUGUGUGUAGGUAGAAUCCUUUUCUUGUAGUUAUUGUACAAAAAGAGCACCUUACAGCCUGUAUUCAUCGUAGUUGAGUAAUGAAGUCAUCUCUCUCCUCUUGAAACCGUGCUGACCUGCCAAUCAAAAUUUUUAAACUGAACUAAAAGCCCUUUUAUAAUAUGAGCAUCCUUUCACCAAGCGAUUUCAGGUUUCAGUGAUCCUGAGUCUAUCUAGGAAAGGGGAGGUGGCCCUUGGGGGCACCCUGGGCAGUGUGCCCCAGGGCUCAUGGCCUCUGGGUCAGGGGUAGACACCUGAAGUUCCUACUCUAACGAUGGGAACUAGACAGAGCAGCCAUGACCAUGAGCCCGGCCAAGAGAGGAGCAGGAAUGCGUGAAAACCAGCUCCUCUUUGUGGCCUAACUUUGUGAUUUAGCUCGCUUUGUCUGCCUUCCCUCUUAUCUUUCCUCUGCAGCCAGAUCAUGUCUUCAGAGUUAAUGUCCACCUCCCCAACCCCACCUGGGUAGAUCAUGGUGGGAAAGAAACCCACAAAGAAUGUAAAGGUAUCGGACACAUAAGCUCUUUUCAAGUAUCUGCAGCAUCCGCGUCAUCCCUACCUGGUCCUCACACCAUCAGAGGGGCUUGUUUCACUCCUUGGGCUCACAGUUCCUUGAUUUUCCUCUGGGCCUGGAUAUGCCUGCCACACAUGCUCAGAAUGGCUAUGGGGAUCCCCAAAGAAGGUUGUCUCCUGUGGCAGAAGGCAUAUUGUUAACUAAGAGGAGGAGAGGGUAUUUCUAAACACUUAAUUAUGGGCCCAAACCGUGCACCAGACCUUUAAUAUUUUAAUUCAGUUUCCAUUCAUUAAAAAUUACUCAUGAAAAGUUAAAAGUAUUCUCAAAAAGGAUUCAACCCUGAGAAGGAAUUAUUUACAAUGGUUUUCCCUAUUUCUGUACAGUCUUGCCCUGCAGUGCAAGCCCAUUUUUAAAUCCAACACCUGAGCUCUGAGUAUUGUGUUAGUUGUGGGUGAACAAAUACAGUACUGUUUUCAGACUGCUCGAAUCUAUUCCAUAUUUCUGCAAGUCACCUAUCCAGCAUUGUGAACUGCCCUCACUCUUCCAGGAUCAUGUGGAAAUCCUGCCACUGCCCUUCUCUUCUUACCAUCUACACUUGGUUCUGCAAAGGGCCCAGUUUCCAAGUACAUUAUAGGCACCUGUUGGUGGAGAAAGGUUUUUCCUUUCAAAAGGUGAAAUUUGAAAUAUACAUUAAGAAGACAACUUUACAUGUACUGCUUCACUUAAUGAGACAUUCUUUUUUUUCUUAAUAAGUAUUUUUCUACUGAUAGUUUCAGAACACUAAUCUUAUUUUCACUCUGAUUUUUACCAUGUUUCUUUAAAUAUUUAUAAUGUAGCUUGUUACAAAAUAUUUUCAUGAAAUUACUUUUAUUAUACUGUUAUAUACACAUUUUUGGUAGCAAGCAUAGUUUAUUCUUUAGUACUAAAACAUGUUCUUUUCCCUAUUAGAAAACAAGUAUGGUUUGCUAUAUAUUUGUUAAUAUGCUUGUAGUGGUAAGGAAUGGACUUGAGGUCCCAGGAGAUUUUUUUUUUUUUUUUUUUUGCUAGCCAGAUAUCAUAAAGGCUACAAGUAUGAACAUCAUCUAACUUCCUAACCAGGUGUAGGGCAUGUUUAAGAAAAGUGAUAUCAAGUCCUUUGAUGCUGGACCCAAGGGGGAAAAAAUUGUAGCUAAGUGUUGAUUUACUUAUUAUGAGACGUCUAUGUGAGAAAAAUAUAAUAUAUGUAUACAUAUAUAUGAUAUGCAGAAGUCACUUUUAUUUAUCAGGCUUUAUUCUACUAGUAAAGCCACAGUUUAACUAUUAGACAGCAGCUGGUUUAUAAUGAUGGACAAAUGCCCAAUGUGUGUUAUUUUUUCCAAACUACCACUAUAAUGACACAAUCACUUAUAUACAUGCAACUUCCUGGCUUCAUAUCUAUGAGGCUAUUUAAAUAUGUUCACUAUACUUUGUCUUUAAUUCUGCUUCUAUUAACAGUGAUCUCUUUUUCCAUUCUUGAUUCUUUAGUUCAUCAUUAAUCUGUCCAAUUGACGCCUCAGGACCAUGGCAAGAAUUUUCAUGACUCCAAAGUAUUUUACAGACACACACUUUUUUUUUUAACAGAGAGAAACACUUUCUAUACCACGUGGUUCACAAGCUGUAGGUUUUUUCUAAAAAGAAUCAAGUUUUUACAUUUCCUUAUUAUUAAAAUGAAAAGUGCCAUACUUACCCCGUAAAGCAAAGACUGAAUUUGCUUUCUCUCUACCUAUUUUUAAACUUUACUAAUCUUUCAACUAUCCAAAAAAAAAAGUAUACCAAUGAUUUAGUAAUUUUGAGGCAUAAGUUAGUUUAGGUAGUGGAAGAUGUGCCAAACUUUCCCUCCAGAUGUCUUUGUCUCAAUUUGCCACUAAGAUAGUGUCAUCUGAGUGAUUACUCUGAAUUUUAAGAGCUAUAUAGGUCUAAGAAGUGAAUCACAGUACAUGUCAGUCCUUUCUCAAUAAAUGUAAUACCAGAGUGUGUUAUGACUGUAUUGACUUUUUAUGGUAGAUCUGUUAAUAGAAGAAAAAAGAAAUACAUUGAAUUAAGUAGAGUUAUCUGUAUGUUAAAAUAGAGCACUUACCUAGAGCUGGGUGUCCUGGAUCGCUGUCUAGCCAAUCCUGUGUUCCUGUGUUGUGUGACUUUGGACAAGGCACUCCAUCUCUCUGAGCCUGCAUUUCACCAUCUGUAAAAUAAGGGGCUUGAAGUAGCUGAUGGCUGAUACCCUCCUGUUCCGUCCAGUGGCCUACCCCUCUACUGGUCCUGCCAACAUGUUGGUGCUAUACGCUGCUUCAAAAUAAAAUCGGUUUGUCUAUUGUGUGUGCUCAUUUAAUAGCUUAUGAAAGGCCUUUUUGUUAUAUGGCUUUUUUUUUCUAGUUUUAUGAACUUGAUUACAGUAAUAAAGUCUUGUUUGUAGCCAUGUAACUAUAAACUUAUUCUCUUGAUGUCUCAGUAAAUUUGCAUUUGAUAUAUUAGUUGAUGGGAUUGUUGUUUUAGGACAUUCUUUGACUACUUAUCUGUCCAGCAUCUUAUUAACCUAAAUAUUGUGAUCGUUGUUUGGAAAUCUGUUCUCUGGAAAGAAUAAAAGCAUUUACUUCACAGCUAAUGUGUUUGCAGAUUUGAAAAACAGUUUCAUUAAAGCACCAUUGCUCUCUUU